GACGAACGCUGGCGGCGUGCUUAACACAUGCAAGUCGAACGGAAGUUAAGUUUUCGGAUUUAACUUUAGUGGCGAACGGGUGAGUAACGCGUGAGGAACCUGCCUUUCAGUGGGGGACAACAGUUGGAAACGACUGCUAAUACCGCAUAAGCACACAGUACCGCAUGGUACAGAGUGAAAAACUCCGGUGGUAUGAGAUGGACCCGCGUCUGAUUAGCUGGUUGGCGGGGUAACGGCCCACCAAGGCGACGAUCAGUAGCCGACCUGAGAGGGUGACCGGCCACAUUGGAACUGAGAGACGGUCCAA
rnacentral:rRNA from 1 species